GUCUCGGUAGCUCAGUGGUAGAGCAUGCGAUUGCAGUAAGAGUUCAUUAUCGCAGGGCCCGGUGUUCGAACCACCGUCGGGACU